CCCUCCUCACCGUUCACCCCUCCUCGGCUCCUCGCUCCCCCUCCCUCACCGUGCACCCCUCCUCCUUCCCCUGCUCGGUCCCCUGCGCGGAGCGGCAGCAGGGCCGACGCGGGUGUGGGGCGGCGGCGGGGCCUCGCUCGGAGCGGCAGCGGGGCCGCGCGGGGCCUGCGCGGAGCGGCAGCAGGGCCGGCACGGAGCGGCAGCGGGGCCGACGCUGGUGUGGGGCGGCGUUGGGGCCUCGCUCCCUCCUUCCCUCCUCUUCUUCCUCCUCCGUCUGCCGGCCCCACGCGGCCACCACGCCGGAUCCGCACGGGUGGUGGGAGCGCGCGGCGGGCGGAGCCGCGAGGCCGCAACUUCUCUUCCCCGCGCCGUCUCCGUCGUAGCGUUAUCACUCCUCGUGGAUGAAGCGAUGUAGGCAUGGAUGGCGUCCGCGAAGGAUGCGGCUGGAUCUGCAAUGGAGAACCUGGUGGUUGCACAGAUUAUACAAGAAAAACUAGAUGGAGGUGGCCUCCCUAUUAUUGUUGGCGGCACAAAUUUCUACAUCCAGGUUUCAGCACAAUGGACCCGAGGAGGCUAAAACUUGAUUAGUUCUUAUUGAUUAGAUCAGCUUUGUAUCCGUUCAACAAUUAUUAAAAGCUGCAGACAAUAGGUAAAAUCUGAUCCAUCUUUUACCUUGCUGAUGUAUGUCACCAAGCUGAUACUUCAGUGGUUCUGAAGUGAAGCAUUUGCCUUUUCUUUUGGCCUUCACAAUUUGUUUUUUUAAUUUCAUACGAUAGCUAUUUUCCUUUUCACAUGUUAUCUAAAAUUAACAGGAGGCAUGCUGGAAUGGCAUAAUCUUGGUUUGGUGUCUAGAGAACCUUGUAAUCUCAUCUUUAGGCAUAUUUUGUAAAGAAAACUUUUUUGUUUGCCUUCUCAAUUUGGUCUGAUGGAUGAUCAGGCUGCCAGGCAUUCCAGCCCUUCUCCAUUUAAUAGGCCAAGGGUUAAAGCAUAGAGAAGAGGAUGAUAUGGAGAACUGUUCGUAUGUCAUCUGGAAAAAGAGGGGAGAUGAAACAAUAUGAUGCAUAGCAGCGGAGAUGUGCAAGUUUCAUGGGCCAAAUAAUGUUCUGUCGACCAGAAAUGCAGAGAUCAGAUUCUAACUUGAUGACAUACAAGUGAAUCUGAAAAUUUGAAUGCACAUGAUACAAGUUUAAACUCAAGAAAUAUGCUGGAGCUUCCUAUUCUAUUCAAAGACUUUGCCUUCAUAUUUGUUUGUGGCAUCUCGCUGGCAUGCACCACAACUGUUUGGUCAAUGCUUGGGAGGAAGAGGUCGGCAAGGGUGGAGCCAAUGGCAAGGGAUCCACUGCUUUCUCACUUGAACUCAUGAAGGGAAAGAAGGUUUUGUUUUUGAGCAGCACAAGCAGUAGGUUUCUUGGUAGGACUCAUUACUUAGUCAGGUAUAUUUGAUACCAACCUAGGGGUUCUUGAUAAGGUCUUGGGCUCUUGGCUGAGAUUUGAGCCUGAUGCUGGUGUGCUUGGUGCUUUGCCUUUGUGGUGGGCGUGCAGCUCCUGGAGCCACUGACCGGGACAGCUCUGCACUUCUGGUUAUGUUCAUUUGCAAUCACUGUCCGUUUGUAAAACAUCUGAAAAAGGAUAUUGCAAAGGUCAUGUCCAUAUCGUCGAACUCAAUUAGGAUGCAUCCCCAGGUUAGAAGUUACUACCGAUGAAUGUCUUAAUUAGUUGCUGCCUUUUCUGUAGCCAGUAGUUUCUCUUUGACAAAGCAUAUGAACCCAAAAAACUUUAUUGUAACUUGCUUUAUAAUUUUUUAGACCUUUAAUGCAAGACUUCGACUAUGAUUGUUCUCUGGUAAAACAAAAAUACAUAUUGUAAUUGUUCUACUUCAAGUAAUGUCUGAUGUCACUCUUUCCAUGUACUCUUACAUAUUACACAAUAUGGCCGCUUAUAAUGUCUUUUGUUGGUCUUUGGCUAUUCCUUUUGUUGGAAUAUUUAUGGCUAUUAUAUCUGUGUAAGCUGCAGAACUAACAGGAAAAAAACUAUAUGGUUACUGUCUUAACAUAAAUUCCUAAAUAAUGCAUCCUGGUCCUGUAGGACUUGUUAUUGAAACUUGUAAAUGACUAUUCUAUAGACUGGCACAGACAUGGCAGAAGUGUUGUCCUGUUGCAACUUCAGUGGCCUCAUGCCCUCUAUGGGAAAAGUUUCUUUUUAAUAAAGUUAUUGCUACAUCUCAGUGCUUCUAGCAUUAUUAACAUCCAAAAUACUUAUCAAAUUAUUUGAAAUACAAUGUAGAUUUGUUUGACCAAAUUCUUUAAAGAUAUCUCAGGUAAAAAUUUGCACCUUCACUUAUUUGGUUAACACAAUAUUUUCUGUAUCAUCUCCUCUUAUCUGUGGCUGGUAUAAAUAAAUAGUUGUUAUUCAAACUUACCCUUGGCUUAUAUUAUAUAAUGGAUAAUAUUGCAGGUCCUGGUAUGACAACCCUUGUUUAUGGAUUUGAAACGCAACUAAUCGCAAUACGAUGCUUGUUAGUUUCAGGCUCUAGACUUCAAAGUUGAAACCGAACUAUGUUCGUGCAUGGGCUAAUAUGGGAAUCAGCUAUGCCAACCAGGUAAUUCUUCUCUUGUAGAAUGCUAUCAUUUGAUUAUGUUAUCGGCUGUGUCAUCACAUUCUUUAAUACUACCUUGUGAUGCGAAAUAAGAGGCCAUAUUUUGACUUUGCUUACCUUGGUUUCUCAACACUACUACACUAACAUACAACCAUGGUGGAACUUCUAUUUUUGUUAUUUAUGUGAACUGUUGUAACCUUUGUAUUGCAACGGGUAUCUAGACAACCAGCUAACGUAGUAGUACGUGUGGUUUACUAUGGGAGAAGGAAGAUUCCAUAUUUCUUGCAAUUGAAGUCUAGCAAUUUAGCACUAUGAUUUACCAAUUAGUAAUUUCAUAUUUUCCCAAUUAACAACCAACUUUGAUGUACUUUGGCAAGUAUGGAUUUAGAAAAAAGUAGUCAUAUGGUCAGGAAGUUUCUGAUGGAUAAAUGACAAUAAUGUACAUGACUAUGCUUUUUUAUUCCAACAUCUCACAUUCUUUCAAGCAAAGCAAGAUUCAAAAUCUUUUGUACAUGAAGACAUGUACGUAGUUGCAGGAGCCUGAGGGUGUGGGAGCAGCUGGCUGGGACAUUUGAAGUUGUAUGGCACCAAGGAUAUGGAAGCACCUGGUAUGAAUGUAUAAGAAAUAAAAAGUUUCCUAUGGUAUUGAUAUAAAUCCUUCUUGCUCCAUUUAGGUACAUUUUUCAUCUCUCUAAUAGAAGCUGUGACAUUCUUUCUUUUUCUUUCAAUGUUGUUGUCCAAUGAUCAGUUGCAGUAUGGUGUCUGUUUAUUUGAAAAUCCUACCUGAUCAGUCUAUUUAGUAUUUUGUCAAAGCUCCAGAUUAUCAACUGGCCCAUGUCUAUGUUAGUUUGGAAAUAUUUUUGUACUCUACAUGCAGAUAAAAUUGGGAGUAUAUAAUUUCUAAAUCCCAUAGCAAUGUAUGGGCAUAGUUCUAUUGUGUCGAAGUUAGCUCAUGGAUAUCAAUGAGUCUUAAAAUAUCAUAUCUUGCCGAUACUCUGUAUAUUACUCUGAAAUUUUUUUACCACCCAUAGCAAUGCUUGGGCAUAGACAAAGUUUUGGUAACUUGUAGGACAACUGGUUGAAAAUUGAACUGUUAGCACGGGUGUAUGAUCAUGACAUUACUGCUCUGUCUUGUGAUUAUUCUUUUUACCCAUGGGAUAUGUUUAUAAUGUAUUGUUACAUGUCGAGGGCCUUUCUUUCUACUCCCAUUAUUAUUUUGUCCUUUGCACACCAUCUGCAAACUACAUUUUUGCAAUACAUAAAGAGAAACAAUGAGAUGCCAUUAGAGGAAUAAUACUGCUCAAUAUUUUUCAGUAAGCUAAAACAUCCAAUGAAAGUAAUUAUCCUUGAAAUAUGAAAACUGGUCAUUUUGUGAUGCAUGUUCAAUUUUAAAAGGCUCUAUCACAUUGUCUCUCUUCAUGUCUAGGCUUUGGGCGCUUAUAAAUUGUUGUGUGCCUGCAGGCUUCUGUGAGAUCAUUUCUUCCUGGUUAGAUGUCAAGAAUACUCAAAAUGUGGUUGGUGGUUUCUGAUUGUUGCCUAUUUUGGCGUCAAUAUAACCUGCAGCAUUAAGAUCAUAUUUUUGGUAAUUAUUUUCUCAUGUCCUUAUGUACGGGAUUUGUGUUUUUACUUAGCAUCAUUCCUCCCUCAGAGUGCUUCAGCUACAUUACACUAUUGUGUGGACACAUCACCCUUCCUUGUAGUCAUUCAGUUUUUCAAAGUGUGCAUUAGCAAUUGAGGUCGAAUGGAUGGAUCCACUUGAAAAGCUGAUGGAACAAGAGGCUUGAUUUUUUGCCCAAUGGUCAAAUGCGUGUGAAGAGGUUCCAUAUGUUUCUUGCAUAUUUAUCUUGACUAAUAUGUGUAUGAAUAUAACAAGCUCGCAGCCAUGAUAAUGGUAUAUAAUUUUUAGAAACAUGUGCGUGCCGCACAUGCACUACUUUUUCAGAGCAAUAUUUUUCAGAUGUCAUGACAAGGUCUGGUGCUACUGCCAGGACAUCAUAUUUGAUUGUAAUUUCAGUGAGAUCAUGUAGUGUGAUGUGAGAAAUGUCUUCUUCAUCCAUUGCCAUGGAUGGAUGGCAGACCAAAAGGCUGUACUCGUGGGGUUGUAGCACUUUUAUAAUGUUCUAUCCAAUUCAAGCUUUUAAAUUUAUUA